AUUGAACGCUGGCGGCAUGCCUUACACAUGCAAGUCGAACGGCAGCACGGGAGCAAUCCUGGUGGCGAGUGGCGAACGGGUGAGUAACAUAUCGGAACGUACCCAGUCGUGGGGGAUAACGUAGCGAAAGUUGCGCUAAUACCGCAUACGAUCUUUGGAUGAAAGCGGGGGAUCGCAAGACCUCGCGCGAUUGGAGCGGCCGAUAUCAGACUAGGUAGUUGGUGAGGUAAGGGCUCACCAAGCCGACGAUCUGUAGCUGGUCUGAGAGGACGACCAGCCACACUGGGACUGAGACACGGCCCAGACUCCUACGGGAGGCAGCAGUGGGGAAUUUUGGACAAUGGGCGCAAGCCUGAUCCAGCAAUGCCGCGUGCAGGACGAAGGCCUUCGGGUUGUAAACUGCUUUUGUACGGAACGAAACGGCCUUUUCUAAUACAAGAGGCUAAUGACGGUACCGUAAGAAUAAGCACCGGCUAACUACGUGCCAGCAGCCGCAGUAAGAC
rnacentral:rRNA from 1 species